GUGCCAGCAGCCGCGGUAAUACGUAGGUGGCGAGCGUUGUCCGGAUUUACUGGGCGUAAAGAGCGCGCAGGCGGUCGUGCAAGUCGGAUGUGAAAGCCCCCGGCUCAACUGGGGAGGGUCAUUCGAUACUGCUCGACUCGAAGGCGGGAGAGGGAAGCGGAAUUCCCGGUGUAGUGGUGAAAUGCGUAGAUAUCGGGAGGAACACCAGUGGCGAAGGCGGCUUCCUGGCCCGUUCUUGACGCUGAGGCGCGAAAGCUAGGGGAGCGAACGGGAUUAGAAACCCGAGUAGUCC
rnacentral:rRNA from 1 species